rnacentral:lncRNA from 1 species
UAUGAACUAUCGACCAUGGAAGGACAGCGAGUGCAACACUUCUGGAACGCGGCCCACCUCAAAAGGUUCUACUAUUAGGUCGGGAAUCCGACCACAAAGGCAGAUGGAUGCCUCACUCGGAAAUCCGAGUCUUUCAUUUGAUGUACUGUGAACUACGAUUGGCUUGAUUCUCGAAAGAGGUACGUAGGCAACCAUGAUACAUGGUGCAGCUAACAAAAAUAAAAAUAAAAAAAAUAAAGCAAUAAUGAACGCGCGAUUGACGAUUAAUGAUCCCGUUUUAUUUGAUAAAGUUUGUUACAAGCAGAAUACACUCUUGGGCAAAUACACUCUUGGGCAAAUACGCUCUUGAGCCAAAACAAAAAAAAAAAAAAAAAAAAAAAAAAAAAAACAAAGGGAGAAGAAGAAGCUCAUAAUGGCCACUAGCCAAAGCGACCAACUUAGCCCCCCAAACCGACGAAUUCGGGAAACAGGUCGGUGUCGC